GACGAACGCUGGCGGCGUGCUUAACACAUGCAAGUCGAACGGUAAGGCCCUUCGGGGUACACGAGUGGCGAACGGGUGAGUAACACGUGGGUGAUCUGCCCUGCACUUCGGGAUAAGCCUGGGAAACUGGGUCUAAUACCGGAUAGGACCACUGCCUGCAUGGGUGGUGGUGGAAAGCUUUUGCGGUGUGGGAUGGGCCCGCGGCCUAUCAGCUUGUUGGUGGGGUGAUGGCCUACCAAGGCGACGACGGGUAGCCGGCCUGAGAGGGUGACCGGCCCCACUGGGACUGAGAUACGGCCCAGAGUCCUACGGGAGGCAGCAGUGGGGAAUAUUGCACAAUGGGCGCAAGCCUGAUGCAGCGACGCCGCGUGAGGGAUGACGGCCUUCGGGUUGUAAACCUCUUUCAGCACCGACGAAGCGCAAGUGACGGUAGGUGCAGAAGAAGGACCGGCCAACUACGUGCCAGCCGCCGCAGUAA
rnacentral:rRNA from 1 species